GACGAACGCUGGCGGCGUGCUUAACACAUGCAAGUCGAACGGAAAGGCCCUGCUUUUGUGGGGUGCUCGAGUGGCGAACGGGUGAGUAACACGUGAGUAACCUGCCCUUGACUUUGGGAUAACUUCAGGAAACUGGGGCUAAUACCGGAUAGGAGCUCCUGCUGCAUGGUGGGGGUUGGAAAGUUUCGGCGGUUGGGGAUGGACUCGCGGCUUAUCAGCUUGUUGGUGGGGUAGUGGCUUACCAAGGCUUUGACGGGUAGCCGGCCUGAGAGGGUGACCGGCAACAUUGGGACUGGGUUACGGCCCGGACUCCUACGGGAGGCAGCAGUGGGGAAUAUUGCACAAUGGGCGGAGGCCUGAUGCAGAAACGCCGCGUGCGGGAUGACGGCCUUCGGGUUGUAAACCGCUUUCGCCUGUGACGAGGCGUGGGUGACGGUAAUGGGGAAAGAAGCACCGGCUAACUACGU
rnacentral:rRNA from 1 species